rnacentral:piRNA from 1 species
GCACAAACUCAAGCAGGAACUGACAGCGA